rnacentral:rRNA from 1 species
UACGUAGGCAGCAAGCGUUGUUCGGAGUUACUGGGCGUAAAGGGUGUGUAGGCGGUUUUUUAAGUUUGGUGUGAAAUCUCCCGGCUCAACUGGGAGGGUGCGCCGAAUACUGAAAGACUAGAGUGCGGGAGAGGAAAGUGGAAUUCCUGGUGUAGCGGUGAAAUGCGUAGAUAUCAGGAAGAACACCCGUGGCGAAGGCGGCUCUCUGGGACGGUACUGACGCUGAGACGCGAAAGCGUGGGGAGCAAACAGG